rnacentral:rRNA from 1 species
CAGUCGCCGCGGGAAUACGGAGGGUCCGAGCGUUAAUCGGAAUUACUGGGCGUAAAGCGUGCGCAGGCGGUUUGUUAAGCGAGAUGUGAAAGCCCUGGGCUCAACCUAGGAAUAGCAUUUCGAACUGGCGAACUAGAGUCUUGUAGAGGGGGGUAGAAUUCCAGGUGUAGCGGUGAAAUGCGUAGAGAUCUGGAGGAAUACCGGUGGCGAAGGCGGCCCCCUGGACAAAGACUGACGCUCAUGCACGAAAGCGUGGGGAGCAAACAGGAUUAGAUACCCCGGUAGUCCCUGUCUCUUUUAC